GGAAACCCAAAGGUCCAUCAUACAUCAAAAUGGCCAUGCUUCCCCAAGUUACUCAACCAGACCUUUUACAUCUUAUCAAUGGCCUCUCUCUCUCUCCUUCCAAGGUUCAAAUCCCACCUAAUGAAAAACCCAAACCUCCUCUCUCCUCAUCUUCCUUUUCUUUCCAUUAUUUCAUAGAACAGUCCCCGGAUCUUCUUCGAAACCUCGAACAAGAAUAUUAGAGCCACUACCAAAGGGGUCUCUGUUAACAUGAGUUUCAACCCCAUGAAAUUCUAGAACAAGAGACCUCAAUUAGAACCCAAUCUCCUUUUUGUUAGAAACGCUAUGACUAUUAUUGUCAUGCUUUUUAGUAGGUCAGCAGCAGGAAUCCAGCUUGAGAUACAACAUUGACAACAUCAACCGCUAACUGCUCAUGCCCAAGCCUGAUUUCUACCGAUCUCAAUGAAAAUCUAGACGCAGAUCUCGAAGAUUUCAAUGCAGAUAUAGAAGCAGAGUCAUGCUCAAGGUCUAUCGUUACUGGAAACUAGAUCUCGCCCACUCUCUCAGUCAUUAGCUAUGUUUUGGUCAUCUCAAUCACGCACAAUGGAUGGUGGAGAUUAAUCAUUCCUCUCUAUGUGCAAAACAAUGGAGGACUUAAGCCGAUGAACUGUUUAUCUCCACCAUCUGUUGUUCAGUAUGGAUGGUGGGGAUGACAUAACAUUUUCUUGAGGUAGUUGGAAGAUGGGGAGAAGUGUUUUCCAUUUAGUAAACAACGUUAUGGUUGGUGUGUAUUGUAGCUUUAUUGUAA
rnacentral:lncRNA from 1 species